rnacentral:rRNA from 1 species
GCAGACGAACGCUGGCGGCGUGCUUAACACAUGCAAGUCGAACGAUGAAGCCUUCGGGUGGAUUAGUGGCGAACGGGUGAGUAACACGUGGGAAAUCUGCCCUGCACUCUGGGACAAGCCUUGGAAACGAGGUCUAAUACCGGAUAUGACCUGUCCUCGCAUGGGGAUGGGUGGAAAGCUCCGGCGGUGCAGGAUGAUCCCGCGGCCUAUCAGCUUGUUGGUGGGGUAAUGGCCUACCAAGGCGACGACGGGUAGCCGGCCUGAGAGGGCGACCGGCCACACUGGGACUGAGACACGGCCCAGACUCCUACGGGAGGCAGCAGUGGGGAAUAUUGCACAAUGGGCGAAAGCCUGAUGCAGCGACGCCGCGUGAGGGAUGAAGGCCUUCGGGUCGUAAACCUCUUUCAGCAGGGAAGAAGCGCAAGUGACGGUACCUGCAGAAGAAGCACCGGCUAACUACGUGCCAGCAGCCGCGGUAAUACGUAGGGUGCGAGCGUUGUCCGGAAUUAUUGGGCGUAAAGAGCUCGUAGGCGGCUUGUCACGUCGGAUGUGAAAGCCCGGGGCUUAACCCCGGGUCUGCAUUCGAUACGGGCAGGCUAGAGUGUGGUAGGGGAGAUCGGAAUUCCUGGUGUAGCGGUGAAAUGCGCAGAUAUCAGGAGGAACACCGGUGGCGAAGGCGGAUCUCUGGGCCAUUACUGACGCUGAGGAGCGAAAGCGUGGGGAGCGAACAGGAUUAGAUACCCUGGUAGUCCACGCCGUAAACGGUGGGAACUAGGUGUUGGCGACAUUCCACGUCGUCGGUGCCGCAGCUAACGCAUUAAGUCCCCGCC